AACGAACGCUGGCGGCGUGCCUAACACAUGCAAGUCGUGCGAGAAAGUUUCCUUCGGGAAGCGAGUAAAGCGGCGCACGGGUGAGUAACACGUAGGUAAUCUGCCUCGUAGUCGGGAAUAACCCGGGGAAACCCGGGCUAAUACCGGAUAAGACCACGAUUGUUCCGGCAGUCGAGGCCAAAGACGGCCACUACACGUAAGCUGUCGCUACGAGAUGAGCCUGCGGCCCAUUAGCGAGUUGGUGGGGUAAUGGCCUACCAAGGCUGUGAUGGGUAGCUGGUCUGAGAGGAUGAUCAGCCACACUGGGACUGAGAAACGGCCCAGACUCCUACGGGAGGCAGCAGUGGGGAAUAUUGCGCAAUGGGGGAAACCCUGACGCAGCGACGCCGCGUGGGUGAUGAAGGCCUUCGGGUCGUAAAGCCCUGUCGUAGGGGAAGAACCGGUGGACGGCUAAUACCCGUCUGCCCUGACGGUACCCUACAAGAAAGCACCGGCUAACUCCGUGCCAGCAGCCGCCGUAACAC
rnacentral:rRNA from 1 species